ACGGCCGUACCAUGCUGAAUAUACCGGUUCUCGUUAGAUCACCGAAGUUAAGCAUCAUUGGGCGCGGUCAGUACUUGGGUGGAACUGAACCAAACUGAACUGCUCGCAGUGUACACCUGGGAACACUGUGUGCCGU